AUUGAACGCUGGCGGCAGGCCUAACACAUGCAAGUCGAACGGUAGCACAGAGAGCUUGCUCUCGGGUGACGAGUGGCGGACGGGUGAGUAAUGUCUGGGAAACUGCCCGAUGGAGGGGGAUAACUACUGGAAACGGUAGCUAAUACCGCAUAACGUCGCAGGACCAAAGUGGGGGACCUUCGGGCCUCACACCAUCGGAUGUGCCCAGAUGGGAUUAGCUAGUAGGUGGGGUAAUGGCUCACCUAGGCGACGAUCCCUAGCUGGUCUGAGAGGAUGACCAGCCACACUGGAACUGAGACACGGUCCAGACUCCUACGGGAGGCAGCAGUGGGGAAUAUUGCACAAUGGGCGCAAGCCUGAUGCAGCCAUGCCGCGUGUAUGAAGAAGGCCUUCGGGUUGUAAAGUACUUUCAGCGGGGAGGAAGGCGGUGAAGUUAAUAACCUCGCCGAUUGACGUUACCCGCAGAAGAAGCACCGGCUAACUCCGUGCCAGCAGCCGCCGCCG
rnacentral:rRNA from 1 species